UUGAACGCUGGCGGCAUGCCUUACACAUGCAAGUCGAACGGCAGCACGGGAGCAAUCCUGGUGGCGAGUGGCGAACGGGUGAGUAAUAUAUCGGAACGUGCCCAGUCGUGGGGGGUAACGUAUCGAAAGGUACGCUAAUACCGCAUACGUCCUGAGGGAGAAAGCGGGGGAUCUUCGGACCUCGCGCGAUUGGAGCGGCCGAUGUCGGAUUAGCUAGUAGGUGAGGUAAAGGCUCACCUAGGCGACGAUCCGUAGCGGGUCUGAGAGGAUGAUCCGCCACACUGGGACUGAGACACGGCCCAGACUCCUACGGGAGGCAGCAGUGGGGAAUUUUGGACAAUGGGGGCAACCCUGAUCCAGCCAUGCCGCGUGAGUGAAGAAGGCCUUCGGGUUGUAAAGCUCUUUCGGCCGGGAAGAAAUCGUGGUCUCUAACAUAGGCCAUGGAUGACGGUACCGGACUAAGAAGCACCGGCUAACUACGU
rnacentral:rRNA from 1 species